rnacentral:rRNA from 1 species
GGAUUAGAUACCCUGGUAGUCCAUGCCGUAAACGAUGUGUGCUAGACGUUGGAAAUUUAUUUUUCAGUGUCGCAGCGAAAGCGUUAAGCACACCGCCUGGGGAGUACGACCGCAAGGUUAAAACUCAAAUGAAUUGACGGGGACCCGCACAAGCAGUGGAGCAUGUGGUUUAAUUCGAAGAUACGCGCAGAACCUUACCAACACUUGACAUGUUCGUCGCGAGACCAAGAGAUUAGAGCUUUCGGUUCGGCCGGACGAAACACAGGUGCUGCAUGGCUGUCGUCAGCUCGUGUUG